GACGAACGCUGGCGGCGUGCCUAAUACAUGCAAGUUGAGCGCUGAAGGUUGGUACUUGUACCGACUGGAUGAGCAGCGAACGGGUGAGUAACGCGUGGGGAAUCUGCCUUUGAGCGGGGGACAACAUUUGGAAACGAAUGCUAAUACCGCAUAAAAACUUUAAACACAAGUUUUAAGUUUGAAAGAUGCAAUUGCAUCACUCAAAGAUGAUCCCGCGUUGUAUUAGCUAGUUGGUGAGGUAAAGGCCCACCAAGGCGAUGAUACAUAGCCGACCUGAGAGGGUGAUCGGCCACAUUGGGACUGAGACACGGCCCAAACUCCUACGGGAGGCAGCAGGAGGGAAUCUUCGGCAAUGGACGAAAGUCUGAACGAGCAACGCCGCGGGAGGGAAGAAGGUUUUCGGAUCGUAAAACUCUGUUGGUAGAGAAGAACGUUGGUGAGAGUGGAAAGCUCAUCAAGUGACGGUAACUACCCAGAAAGGGACGGCUAACUACGUG
rnacentral:rRNA from 1 species